rnacentral:rRNA from 1 species
GGCCAGACUCCUACGGGAGGCAGCAGUGGGGAAUAUUGCACAAUGGGGGAAACCCUGAUGCAGCGACGCCGCGUGAGUGAAGAAGUAUUUCGGUAUGUAAAGCUCUAUCAGCAGGGAAGAAGAAGGACGGUACCUGAGUAAGAAGCCCCGGCUAACUACGUGCCAGCAGCCGCGGUAAUACGUAGGGGGCAAGCGUUAUCCGGAUUUACUGGGUGUAAAGGGGGCGCAGACGGCAGCGCAAGCCAGGAGUGAAAGCCCGGGGCCCAACCCCGGGACUGCUCUUGGAACUGCGUGGCUGGAGUGCAGGAGGGGCAGGCGGAAUUCCUGGUGUAGCGGUGAAAUGCGUAGAUAUCAGGAGGAACACCGGUGGCGAAGGCGGCCUGCUGGACUGCAACUGACGUUGAGGCCCGAAAGCGUGGGGAGCAAACAGGAUUAGAUACCCUAGUAUU